rnacentral:rRNA from 1 species
UACGUGGGGGGCGAGCGUUAUCCGGAAUUACUGGGCGUAAAGCGCACGCAGGCGGUUCGCCAAGUUUGGAGUGACAGUUGUCGGCUCAACCGACAAAGGACUUCAAAAACUGGUGAACUUGAGGACGAGAGAGGAACAUGGAACUCCAGGUGUAGUAGUGAAAUGCGUAGAUAUCUGGAAGAACACCAAUGGCGAAGGCAAUGUUCUGGCUCGUUUCUGACGCUCAGGUGCGAAAGCCAGGGGAGCGAACGGG